rnacentral:tRNA from 1 species
GUUCAAGUCCUUCCCCUGCUA